GUGGAGAGCCUUCGCGGGUGAGGCUUAACGCGCAGGAGGUCUCACGAGAGUGGAAGCAACUCUCGCGAAUUUUAAAAUUUAUCUUUUUGCCUAGCGACUGACAACAGGCUGGUUGCUUGGCGUGGAAUCCUAAAGUGGCCUGGCUUUGAGACUGGAGUGAGACCCCAGCCCUAGGCUGGGGUUCUUUCCAUUAUAGAGGAGACGGAUUCAGAAGGGCUACAGGAGCUAUGAAUUAUGUCUCCCUUUGCUUAGACCAAGGUUGUUGAAAACCAGACAUAUGAUGAGCGUCUAGAGAUUAACGACUCCGAAGAGGUUGCAAGUAUUUAUACUCCAACCCCAAGACACCAAGGACUUCCUCGUUCUGCCCAUCUUCCUAACAAGGCUAUGGCUGAUAACAGCAGUGAUGAGUGUGAAGAGGAAAAUAACAAGGAGAAGAAGAAGACCUCACAGUUGACACCUCAACGGGGCUUUAGUGAAAAUG
rnacentral:lncRNA from 1 species